rnacentral:rRNA from 1 species
GACAGAGGUGCCGAGCGUUAGGCGGAAUCACUGGGCUUAAAGCGUGUGUAGGCGGACCGUUAAGUACCUUGUGAAAUCCUGCGGCUCAACCGCAGAACGGCUGGGUAUACUGGCGGUCUUGGGCCACCUAGGGGCAGAUGGAACAGACGGUGGAGCGGUGAAAUGCGUAGAUAUCGUCUGGAACGCCGAUGGUGAAAACAGUCUGCUGGGGGUGUGCCGACGCUGAGACACGAAAGCCAGGGAGCAAACGGG